AGCGGUAACAGGGGUAGCUUGCUACCCGCUGACGAGCGGCGGACGGGUGAGUACGCAUAGGAAUUUACCCGGUAGUGGGGGAUAACCUGGGGAAACCCAGGCUAAUACCGCAUACGUCCUACGGGAGAAAGGGGGCUUUGGCUCCCGCUAUCGGAUGAGCCUAUGCCGGAUUAGCUAGUUGGUGAGGUAAUGGCUCACCAAGGCGACGAUCCGUAGCUGGUCUGAGAGGAUGAUCAGCCACAUCGGGACUGAGACACGGCCCGAACUCCUACGGGAGGCAGCAGUGGGGAAUAUUGGACAAUGGGGGCAACCCUGAUCCAGCCAUGCCGCGUGUGUGAAGAAGGCCCUCGGGUUGUAAAGCACUUUCAGCGAGGAAGAACGCCUGUCGGUUAAUACCCGGCAGGAAAGACAUCACUCGCAGAAGAAGCACCGGCUAACUCCGUGCCAGCAGCCGCGGUAAUACGGAGGGUGCAAGCGUUAAUCGGAAUUACUGGGCGUAAAGCGCGCGUAGGUGGCUUGAUAAGCCGGUUGUGAAAGCCCCGGGCUCAACCUGGGAACGGCAUCCGGAACUAUCAGGCUAGAGUGCAGGAGAGGAAGGUAGAAUUCCCGGUGUAGCGGUGAAAUGCGUAGAGAUCGGGAGGAAUACCAGUGGCGAAGGCGGCCUUCUGGACUGACACUGACACUGAGGUGCGAAAGCGU
rnacentral:rRNA from 1 species